AAUGAACGCUGGCGGCAUGCCUAACACAUGCAAGUCGAACGGCAGCACAGUAAGAGCUUGCGCUUGCGGGUGGCGAGUGGCGGACGGGUGACGUAUGCAUCGGAUACCACUUUUUCGUGGGUGAUAACGCAGGGAAACUUACGCUAAUACAGCAUACGACCUACGGGUGAAAGCACGGGUUCGUCUGACCUUUUGGGAGGGUAUGAGCCUAGGACGGAUUAGCUAGUUGGCGGGGUAGAGGGCCACCAAGGCCACGCUCCGUAGCAGGUCUGAGAGGAUGAUCAGCCACACGGGAACUGAGAAACGGUACAGACUCCUACGGGAGGCAGCAGUGGGGAAUAUUAGGCAAUGGGCGAAAGCCUGAUCCAGCAAUACCGCGUGGGUGAUGAAGGCGUUCGGGUGGGAAAGCGCUUUUGUUGGGAAAGAAAAGAAGCAGGUUAAUACGCCGCGGUACUGACGGUACCGAAAGAAUAAGCACCGGCUAACUUCGUG
rnacentral:rRNA from 1 species